CGGGUUCAACAAUUUCGAUGGACCUAUUCCAUCCAACCUUAGCGAUAAAUUGUCCCUUGUCAUCCUUUGAGUAUAAGCUAUUGGAUCUGAUGUUUUAUUAUGCUCUUCUUGCUUUGACAAGCUAGAUGUGCUCCGCGUUAACUGCUUACAGAGUGCUGAUUCUCAACAACUUAUUAAUUUCCUCUAUGAGUGCUGAUUCUGUAUAUGCUUUUCUGCUUCCCGGGCUACGCAAAUCAGAUAGUGUCACUGGGUAGGAGAAAGUUCAGCACAGAUUUUCAGACUGCUAAAGGCGUUGAUGUUCUUUGGAUUUAUAGUGACGGUUAGCAUCCUCUUUAUGUUUGUGAAUCUUAAAGUUGGUGACAUCUUUGCGAGCAAAGAGCACAACAGCUGAUCCAAAUGCAUUGAUUGAUGAAUGGAGAAUACACAAGAAGCAAGUUAUGGCUUCAUGACCUUGCUGGAAGUGAGAGAUUAGCCAAGCCAGACGUUUAAGGAGAUCCGCUGAAAGAAACUCAAAUUAUUAACAGAUCCUUAUCUGCACUGGGAGGUGUGAUAGCAGCGCUGGCGACCAAAAUCCCACAUAUUCCUUUCAGGAAUUCAAAGCUCACUCACUUGCUCCAAGAUUCUCUAGGGUGACAAUUGCUUUUCAAUAAAGAAACAACUUGUAACAUACAGAAGCAGCUGUAAACUGGAGAAUGUGGACCAAGUUGAAGAAAAUCUAUUGCCAUGAGUCUCGAGUCCAACCAACCAUCUUCAGCAUCAGUUUUCAAUAGCUGGUUGUAUAUGAAUGAAUAGUUACUCUUUUGUACUUUAAUCAUCACCUAGUUGUUCCAUCUAUGGAAUAAAUUUGCGCACGUACGAUUUAUAUGAUAUUUUUAGUCAUGUUCAAAGAAUCUAUCAUUUUAUUUUCUUUCGUUGCGCAACACACUUUCAUACAAGGUGAUUUGAAGUUAGCUAGGUAAUGCAAUUGGAGUGGUAGGUUAACUUGAAUGAAUGUAAAUGUGCUACACUGGCAUGUUAAUGUGAAUGUGAAAUACUUUCGGCAAUUCAUGCAAUUCGGUUUCAGCUAUAA